UACGUAUGGUGCAAGCGUUAUCCGGAUUUACUGGGUAUAAAGGGAGCGUAGACGGAGUGGCAAGUCUGAUGUGAAAACCCGGGGCUCAACCCCGGGACUGCAUUGGAAACUGUCAAUCUAGAGUACCGGAGAGGUAAGCGGAAUUCCUAGUGUAGCGGUGAAAUGCGUAGAUAUUAGGAGGAACACCAGUGGCGAAGGCGGCUUACUGGACGGUAACUGACGUUGAGGCUCGAAAGCGUGGGGAGCAAACAGG
rnacentral:rRNA from 1 species